UACGUAGGGUGCAAGCGUUUAAUCGGAAUUACUGGGCGUAAAGCGUGCGCAGGCGGCUUUGCAAGACAGAUGUGAAAUCCCCGGGCUUAACCUGGGAACUGCAUUUGUGACUGCAUGGCUGGAGUGCGGCAGAGGGGGGAUGGAAUUCCGCGUGUAGCAGUGAAAUGCGUAGAUAUCUGGAGGAAUACCGGUGGCGAAGGCGGCAUCCUGGACCGGCAUUGACGCUGAGGAGCGAAAGCCAGGGGAGCAAACGGG
rnacentral:rRNA from 1 species